CCUACGGGAGGCAGCAGUGGGGAAUUUUGGACAAUGGGCGCAAGCCUGAUCCAGCAAUGCCGCGUGCAGGAUGAAGGCCUUCGGGUUGUAAACUGCUUUUGUACGGAACGAAAAAGUUCUUUCUAAUAAAGAGAGCUCAUGACGGUACCGUAAGAAUAAGCACCGGCUAACUACGUGCCAGCAGCCGCGGUAAUACGUAGGGUGCGAGCGUUAAUCGGAAUUACUGGGCGUAAAGCGUGCGCAGGCGGUUAUAUAAGACAGAUGUGAAAUCCCCGGGCUCAACCUGGGACCUGCAUUUGUGACUGUAUAGCUAGAGUACGGUAGAGGGGGAUGGAAUUCCGCGUGUAGCAGUGAGAUGCGUAGAUAUGCGGAGGAACACCGAUGGCGAAGGCAAUCCCCUGGACCUGUACUGACGCUCAUGCACGAAAGCGUGGGGAGCAAACAGGAUUAGAUACCCUGGUAGUCCACGCCCUAAACGAUGUCAACUGGUUGUUGGGUCUUCACUGACUCAGUAACGAAAGCUAAACGCGUGAAAGUUGACCGCCGUGGGGUAGGUACGGGCCGGCGAAGGUUAGGUUAAACGUAACGAAAGAAAGUUAGUAGGACGGCGAGAGAGCGACGACGACGACGACGGAGGAGGAGG
rnacentral:rRNA from 1 species